UAAUAACUUACUCCACUCAGUUGCAUAACUGGGUGAAGGCUGACGGUUUUUUAACCGUCGGCCU
rnacentral:sRNA from 1 species